CCUACGGGUGGCAGCAGUGAGGAAUAUUGGUCAAUGGCCGUAAGGCUGAACCAGCCAAGUCGCGUGAAGGAAGACGGAUCUAUGGUUUGUAAACCUCUUUUAUAGGGGAAUAAAGGUAUCCACGUGUGGAUAUUUGCAUGUACCCUAUGAAUAAGCAUCGGCUAACUCCGUGCCAGGAGCCGCGGUAAUACGGAGGAUGCGAGCGUUAUUCGGAUUUUUUUGGGUUAAAGGGGUCGUAGGUUGUUUUUUAAGUCAGCGGGGAAAGUUUGUGGCUCAACCAUAAAAUUGCCGUUGAAACUGGAGGACUUGAGUGUGUUUGAGGUAGGCGGAAUGCGUGGUGUAGCGGUGAAAUGCAUAGAUAUCACGCAGAACUCCGAUUGCGAAGGCAGCUUAC
rnacentral:rRNA from 1 species